UACGUAGGGGGCAAGCGUUGUCCGGAAUCAUUGGGCGUAAAGAGCGUGUAGGCGGUCCGGUAAGUCGGCUGUGAAAGUCCAGGGCUCAACCCUGGGAUGCCGGUCGAUACUGCCGGACUAGAGUUCGGAAGAGGCGAGUGGAAUUCCCGGUGUAGCGGUGAAAUGCGUAGAUAUUGGGAGGAACACCAGUGGCGAAGGCGGCUCACUGGACCGGUACUGACGCUGAUGCGCGAAAGCGUGGGGAGCAAACAGG
rnacentral:rRNA from 1 species